CCUACGGGAGGCAGCAGUCGAGAAUCAUUCACAAUGGGGGAAACCCUGAUGGUGCGACGCCGCGUGGGGGAAUGCAGGUCUUCGGAUUGUAAACCCCUGUCAUGUGGGAGCAAAUUAAAAAGAUAGUACCACAAGAGGAAGAGACGGCUAAAUCUGUGCCAGCAGCCGCGGUAUUACAGAGGUCUCAAGCGGUGUUCGGAAUCACUGGGCGUAAAGCGUGCGUGGGGUGUUGCGUCAGACGUGUGUGAAAGGCGCGGGCUCAACCCGCGGACGGCACAUGAUACUGCGAGAGUAGAGUAAUGGAGGGGGAACCGGGAAUGUCGGGUGAGCAGUGAAAUGGG
rnacentral:rRNA from 1 species